AUUGAACGCUAGCGGGAUGCUUUACACAUGCAAGUCGAACGAGUGGCGGACGGGUGAGUAAUAUAUCGGAACCUGCCCGGUAGAGGGGGAUAACUACUCGAAAGGGUGGCUAAUACCGCAUACUAUUGGAUCUGCCGAUAUGGGAUUAGCUAGUUGGUGGGGUAAAGGCUCACCAAGGCCACGAUCCGUAGCUGGUUUGAGAGGAUGACCAGCCACACGGGAACUGAGACACGGCCCAGACUCCUACGGGAGGCAGCAGUGGGGAAUUUUGGACAAUGGGGGAAACCCUGAUCCAGCCAUCCCGCGUGUAUGAGAAGGCCUUCGGGUUGUAAAGUACUUUUGGCAGAGAAGCGGUAUCUGCAGAAUAAGCACCGGCUAACUACGUGCCAGCAGCCGCGGUAAUUC
rnacentral:rRNA from 1 species